AAAAAAUUCACAUCUCUCGGUCUCUCGCUCCCCCUUUCAGAUCCAAAAAUCCACAACCUCAGAUCCAAAAAUCCUCUCUGUCUCUCGCACCCCUCCCGCGCUCAUCGUCUUUCUCCUCAGGCGAGUUGUUCGGCCACCGGCGAAGCUUUCCGUACGUCGCUCCUGUCUCUCUCACUCCGGCGCAAGGUUCCAUCCCUGUCUCUCUCACUCCGACGACCUCAAGGCCUGCGACGCCGAGUUCGUCAAGGUCGACCAGGCCACCCUCUUCGAUCUCAUCCUGCAAGGUUGUUACUUGCUUAGCAUAUUGUGCAAGUGGAAAUCUAUUAAUUUCUGGAUCGGAGGAUGGUAUUAUACGAGUUUGGGAUGCUAAAACUCACAACAUUGUUCGGGUGUUCAAACAUGCAAAAGACACUACUUUGUAUCCUCAACUAAUAGUUUUGGUUGAGGAUAUAAAUUACCAAUUAUUUUUGUUGAGGAAGAGAACGAGGUGCAGAAGCUCUCUGAGGAGUUGAUGGUGUACGAGAACUUCAUGAAGUUCUAUCAGAUUCCGUGCUACGAUGGCCAGUCGCCACCACCACCGCCCAACGCUGCUCAGGAAAAUAUGGUGGCUGAUCUCUGGAGCUUCGAUGACGAGGAGGUCGCUCUUGCCUCUGUGACCUCUUCGACUAUGUAACGGGGUCGUUUAACUCGUUUGUUGUCAAAUUUUUGGGUCUUGUUUGGUUGGGUGGAAAUGUGGAAUAAUGUAAAAUUUAUUUGGGGAAUUUGAUGGUCUUGUUCAUUAGUUCUUGCUUCGUAAGAUUACACUUGAUGUAGAUAGAAAGCAAGAGAAUGACUUGAUCAAUUUCUCUAAUUUCCCAAAUUAAAUUGUUUAAAUUUGAUAUUUGUUAAGUUUGAUUAUUCCUUAAUUAAUGUUGUCUGACCAUUGCAUGUU